UACGAAGGGGGCUAGCGUUGCUCGGAAUCACUGGGCGUAAAGGGUGCGUAGGCGGGUCUUUUAAGUCAGGGGUGAAAUCCUGGAGCUCAACUCCAGAACUGCCCUUGAUACUGGCGGUCUUUGAGUUCGGGGAGGGGGUGAGUGGAACUGCGAGUGUAGAGGUGAAAUUCGUAGAUAUUCGCAAGAACACCAGUGGCGAAGGCGGCUCACUGGCCCGAUACUGACGCUGAGGCACGAAAGCGUGGGGAGCAAACAGGG
rnacentral:rRNA from 1 species